rnacentral:rRNA from 1 species
AUUGAACGCUGGCGGCAGGCCUAACACAUGCAAGUCGAACGGCAGCACAGAAGAGCUUGCUCUUUGGGUGGCGAGUGGCGGACGGGUGCGUAAUGUCUGGGAAACUGCCCGAUGGAGGGGGAUAACUACUGGAAACGGUAGCUAAUACCGCAUAACGUCGCAAGACCAAAGUGGGGGACCUUCGGGCCUCACACCAUCGGAUGUGCCCAGCUGGGAUUAGCUAGUGGGUGGGGUAAUGGCUCACCUAGGCGACGAUCCCUAGCUGGUCUGAGAGGGUGACCAGCCACACUGGAACUGAGACACAGUCCAGACUCCGACGGGAGGCAGCAGUAGGGAAUAUUGCACAAUGGGCGCAAGCCUGAUGCAGCCAUGCCGCGUGUAUUAAGAAGGCCUUCGGGUUGUAGAGUACUUUCAGCGGGGAGGAAGGCGGUGGAGUUAAUAACGUCAGCGAUUGACGUUACCCGCAGAAGAAGCACCGGCUAACUCCGUGCCAGCCGCCGCAGUAA